UAGGGAAUCUUCCGCAAUGGGCGAAAGCCUGACGGAGCAACGCCGCGUGAGUGAUGAAGGUCUUCGGAUCGUAAAACUCUGUUAUUAGGGAAGAACAAAUGUGUAAGUAACUAUGCACGUCUUGACGGUACCUAAUCAGAAAGCCACGGCUAACUACGUGCCAGCAGCCGCGGUAAUACGUAGGUGGCAAGCGUUAUCCGGAAUUAUUGGGCGUAAAGCGCGCGUAGGCGGUUUUUUAAGUCUGAUGUGAAAGUCCACGGCUCAACCGUGGAGGGUCAUUGGAAACUGGAAAACUUGAGUGCAGGAGAGGAAAGUGGAAUUCCAUGUGUAGCGGUGAAAUGCGCAGAGAUAUGGAGGAACACCAGUGGCGAAGGCGACUUUCUGGUCUGUAACUGACGCUGAUGUGCGAAAGCGUGGGGAUCAAACAGG
rnacentral:rRNA from 1 species